CGGCGCGCCAUACGAACGACGACGGGUCGCGCACUACGAGUAGGGCGCUGGUCGGCUCCGAAACCCCCGAAGAAGAGACGGAAGAAGAAGAAGAAGGUGGAGUAGGAAGUGGUAGCUGACUACGACGAUUUAAAUCAAUACGACGCAACUUAGCACCAGCCAGUGCAUCGAGGCGAAACACACGAAGGUUAGCGAACAACCCGAGGAGUAAACGAAUCUCGGCCGAGGGAAUCGAGGAAUCGUCGAGAGAGCGAGUGAAUCCAAGCGGACAGGAUGUCUUCAGCGAUCGCUAAAGCUUCCAAAUACACGUACCGCUCCACCGGCGGUGGUACUGCCGAUGUCAGCAUCGAAUACAGCGCCGACCUCAGCGCUCUCACCAGACUGGAGGACAAAAUCCGCCUGCUGCAGGAUGACCUGGAGUCUGAGAGAGAACUGCGCCAGAGGAUCGAACGCGAGCGCGCUGAUUUGAGCGUGCAAGUCAUCCAGCUGUCCGAACGUCUCGAAGAGGCAGAGGGUGGCGCCGAAUCUCAAUUCGAGAUCAACAAGAAGAGGGACACGGAACUGGCCAAGUUGCGCAAACUACUCGAAGAUGUUCAUCUUGAGAGCGAGGAGACUGCGCAUCUUCUGCGCAAAAAACACCAGGAGGUUGUUGUCGACUUCCAGGAUCAAAUCGAUCAACUUGCAAAAGCACGCGCCAGGGCUGACAAAGAAAAAUCGAAAUUCCAACAGGAGGUUUACGAACUCCUCGCUCAGCUGGACAAUGUCACCAAAGAAAAGGUGAUGUCGAUAAAGACAGUGGAGAAGCUCGAAUUCCACGUGGCCGAGCUCAAUGUGAAAAUUGAAGAAUUGAACCGUACCAUCGUUGACAUCACCAGCCACAAAACUAGGCUCUCCCAAGAAAACAUUGAAUUAACGAAGGAAGUGCAAGACUUGAAGGUCAACAUCGAGAACGUGGUAUACUUGAGGACGCAAAUCGCAGGACAACUAGAGGACGCUCGUCGUCGUCUCGAAGAUGAAGAUCGUCGUCGUGCAUUGGUCGAAGCCUCCUUACAUCAGGUCGAGUCGGAAUUGGAAUCCGUUCGUAUUCAAUUGGAAGAAGAAUCUGAAGCACGUUUGGACAUUGAACGUCAGUUGGUCAAGGCCAACGGCGAAGUACAAAUUUGGAGAUCGAAAUACGAAACCGAAGCUAAUGCUCGCGCCGAAGAGGUAGAGGAAUUGCGUCGCAAGUACAGCGCACGUAUUCAGGAACAGGAAGAACAAAUUGAAACACUGCUUGUCAAGAUCAACAACCUCGAGAAACAAAAAUCGCGCUUACAGUCUGAAGUGGAAGUCCUGAUUAUCGACUUGGAGAAGGCCAAUGGAACAGCUCGGGAGCUGCAGAAACGCGUAGAACAAUUGGAGAAGAUCAAUGUUGAACUGAAGGCUCGUUUCGAUGAAAGCGUGGCGAUGUACGAGCAGAGCCAGCGCGAUCUUCGCAACAAACAACAGGAACUCCAACGCACCAAUGCUGAACUCGACAAAACUCGCGAGAUAAAGGACCAACUGGCUCGUGAGAACAAGAAAUUGACAGAUGACUUGGGUGAUGCCAAGAACCAGCUGGCCGACAUGAACCGCAGACUUCACGAACUGGAACUCGAACUUCGUCGUCUGGAGAACGAAAGGGAAGAGCUGGCUGCCGCCUACAAGGAAGCUGAAGCUGGCCGCAAGAUCGAGGAACAGCGUUCUCAGAGACUGGCCGCUGAAUUGACUCAGAUGCGUCACGAUUAUGAACGUCGCCUGACAGAGAAGGACGAAGAAAUUGAAAUCAUCCGCAAGCAGACCAGCAUCGAGAUCGAGCAGCUGAACGCUCGCGUGGUCGAGGCGGAGACCAAGCUGAAGACCGAGGUGCAGCGCGUAAAGAAGAAGCUGCAGAUCCAGAUCACCGAGCUGGAGCUGUCGCUCGACGUUGCCAACAAGAACAACAUCGACUUGCAGAAGACUAUCAAGAAGCAAUCUCUCACCUUGACCGAGCUUCAAGCCCACUACGACGAAGUUCAACGCCAGCUGCAGGUAACCCUGGACCAGCUGGGCAUCAGUCAAAGACGUCUCCAAUCGUUGACGGCCGAGCUCGAGGAAGUGCGCGGCAACUACGAAUCUGCCCUCCGUGCGAAGAGAACCGUCGAGCAGCAAUACGAGGAGUCGGUUAGCCGCAUCAACGAGCUGACCACCAUCAACGUGAACCUCGCCUCGUCGAAGGCCAAGCUCGAGCAAGAACUGUCGACCCUGGCUGGCGACUACGAAGAGGUCACCAAAGAAUUGAGAGUCAGCGACGAGAGAUACCAGCGAGUGCAGAACGAGCUCAAGCACACCGUGGAGAUCCUCCACGAGGAGCAAGAGCGCAUUGUAAAGAUCGAGGCCAUCAAGAAGUCCCUCGAGAUCGAAGUGAAGAACUUGUCCGUGCGAUUGGAGGAAGUUGAAGCCAACGCCAUCGUGGGAGGCAAGCGUAUCAUCAGCAAGCUCGAAGCUAGGAUUCGUGAUUUGGAACUGGAAUUGGACGAGGAGAAGCGCCGACACUCCGAGACGGUGAAGAUCCUGCGCAAGAAGGAGCGCAACAUCAAAGAGGUGAUGAUCCAGGUGGAGGAGGACUCGAAGAACAUCGCACUGCUGCAGGAAUCCCUGGACAAGGCCAGCCAGAAGGUGAACAUCUACAAGAGACAACUCCAGGAACAAGAGGGCAUGUCCCAGCAAAGCGUGACCAGGGUCCGCCGAUUCCAAAGGGAACUGGAGGCCGCGGAGGACCGCGCAGACACCGCCGAGAGCAACUUGACUCUGAUCCGCGCGAAACACCGCAGCUUCGUCACAACCUCCACCGUGCCCGGUUCCCAGGUGUACCUCGUCCAGGAGACGAGGACUGAUAUUUAAAAACGCCACCGCCAUCGACACCCCACCCUUUGCCACUUCGAAUGCCACCUCGUCGUCUUUAGAAACGCGUAACGAAUAAAUGACGAAAAAAAGGAAGAGCCCCAACACAUCAUCGUAAGACAGAAGAGCCGAGAAGAGUUUCCAACGGGCCGCAAUCGGGAACAUCGUGAAAAGGGGGAGAAUAAGAAAACCGUAUCACCUUAUUAUUCAUCCGUACUGGCGACAGCGCCCAAACGACCCGUCGUAAAUUCGAAAAAUAACUUGGCAAACGCGACGCGGUACCCGUCGCAACGAACUGCAAAAACAAAGCAAAGGCAAAGCAACGAAAAAAAAGUAAAAUGAAGAAAAGUUAACAAAACGCGCGACCAUCGUCUGUAUUCGAUCAAAUGAAAAUAAAGAUGUACGCCUAAAUCUAUAUGUACGCACGAAAAUCAACGAUUCGGUAAAUAUACUUCAUUGCAUCUAUUAUGUGAGAAUCGCUGCGCGUAAGGAGAGAGAAAAGUAAAUAAAUAAAUAAAAGAAUAUAAAAAAAAAAUGAACACAAGACCGUACAACCUGCGCCUUACGGCAAAAUUGAUAGCGCGUGUCGCACUUGUAUUUAAAUGAAUUAACUUUAAUUCUACUUCUAUUAUUAUAUAUAAAUAUACAUACAUAUAUAUAUAUAAUACAUAUAGAUAGGUAUUAUUGCCCAUACACACAACUCUCACUGUACGACAUACACAAUAACCUGUGUCAACAUUAAUUUAAUAAAUAAACUGAAACACGUA